rnacentral:lncRNA from 1 species
CUGCUGUCAAUUUCAGCGAAACUGACUUUUGUUAGCCAAAGCCGGUGUUGGAGCUUGGGGUUGUGGGGGGUGGGUGGUUGUCUAUGGUGGGGUGGCAGCCGGGUAGUGUGCUCAUAUUCUCCCAUACCAACCAGACCCCCAUACCCACCAGAAUAUUUUCAGUGGUUGGAGGAAGAGUUCACAUACAACUUCGGCUCCAGGGUCACACUUCUGUCACUGAUGCUAAUUUGUUUUGCAGGGCAUGGCAAGAGGAGCAUUUUCUGAGGGCAGCAAGAUACCUGGAUAUGUCCCCAGUGGCACCUUUCCAAGACUUCUGGCUACACAUCUUUCACCUCCCAGCCUCGUGCUGAACCCUGUUGGGAUUUUUCAAGUUUUUCAGGUAUGUCUGGUCAAGUUUUCUGUGGAUAUUAGCAACUAUCAAGUAUGAAGAUUAUAG